ensembl:lncRNA
CGGGGGGGCGGGGACGGGGCUAGGAGCCCGAGGGCAAGGCGUGGCGUGGCGUGGCGUGGCCCGGCCCAGCGGCUGGCAGCACUCGGGUGCGGCUCGGCUCCAGGCCGCGUAGUCCUCCGAGGAGCUCGCGCACUGCGCCCAGUGGCGCCGAGGGUUCGCCUGGCGCGGACGCCGCGUCCGGGAGCCAAGUGGCUCAGUGGAAUGCAUUUUGUUGACAUCAACAAUGAGUUGUUUCACACCAGCAUGUGAGUCAGAAGGACACACUCACGGAGAUCCUAGCUUCCAGUUCCCCAACACCAGCAGCACAAGCAGGACGGCACAGUCAGCUUGGGGACGCCCCUGUAGUCAAGCCUGUGAUAAAGUCUCUGUGUCCUUGGCACUGGUGAUAGUCACAUGAUACUCGCUGGUCUCAGAUUUCCACAGGGAGAUGUCAAUGGUGAUACCACGCACGCUCUGCUUUCAGCUUGUCCAAGACCCAGGCAUGAUUGAAGGAACCCUUCCGCAUCUCAGCAGCCUCCUUCUCAAAUUCUUCAGUGGCUCUUUUGUUGAUGCCACCACACUUACACUUCAGAUGGCCAGCAGUGGGGACCUGCCUGAAUCCAUGUGUCCAGUGACAAGGAUAUUGAUGGGAGUCUUUUCCUUUCCCAUGUUGGCUUUGAUUUAGUGGUGAUUUGUGCUCUCGAGGAUAAUCUGUUGUGAAAAAGCUAGUAUUUGUCUCAUUUCUUUCAGCAGUUUUGUAGUUUUUAUUGUACAAAUUUCUGACCCCCUUGGUUAGGUUAGUGUAUCCUUUUAGUUGCUGUUGUAAAUGGAAUUACUGUCAUAACUGCUUUUUCAGAUUCUUCAUUGUUAGUAUAUAGAAAUGCAAUUGAUUUUGCUCCUUGACUUUGUAUCCUGCUGUUUAAUGAAUUCACUUAUUAGUUUUUUUUGUUUUUCUUCACAGUACUGGGGACUGAACUCAGGACCUUGUGCUUGCAAGGCAGGCAAGGCGCCACUGAGCUAAAUCCCCAGCCCACACUUAUUAGUUCUUGUAUGGAGUCUUCCUGGUUUCCAAUAGAUAAAAUCAUACUACUUCUUUUCCAACCCGGCUCUUUUCUUCCUUUUCUUUCCCAUGGCUCCAUGGGAUACCCAGCCCCAUGUUGAGCAGAAGCAAGGACAGCAGUGCCCUCACCUGCGCCUGACCCUGAGGAGAGCCAUCUGGGGGCAGAGCUGAACCCUCCCCUCGGGGUGUCAGGCAUGGUGUUAGUUGUACAGAAAUAGUUUCUUUCUGUUCUAAGUUUGUUGAAUGUUUUAUCAUGAAAGGAUACUGAAUUUUGUCAAAUGUUUUUUCUGCAUCAAUUGAGAUGAUUGUGAUUUUUUUUGCCCUUUUAAAAGCAAAUUUAUUUGUAUAUUCAUUUGCUUAGCAGUACUGGGAAUUAAACCUAGGUUGAAUCCAGGGUCUUCCCUCUGAGCUGCAUCCCUCCCUUGUGGUGUUUUGUUCUGUUGUGACACAGCUCCCUCUGUGUUGCUCAGUUUCCAGGCUGGGUUUGAACUUGCCAGCCUCUGGCUUCAGCCUCUGCACGGUCCCCGCAGGCCAGGUGUGUGCUUCCACACCAGGCAGUUUCCCCUUUAUUGUCUUAAAGAGGUAUGUUACAUUGAUCUACCUUUGCAUGCGGAGCCAUCCUUGGAUUCCAGGAAUAAACCCCACAUGGUCAUGGAGUCCAUUCACUAGUAUCUCCUUGAGGAUUUUUGCAUUGAUGGUCAUAAGAGAUGUUGGUUUAUAGUUUUAUUUAGUGUCCCUGUUUGCUUUUGGCUUCAGGGCAAUAUUGGCCUCAUAGAAUAAGUUAGGAAGCAUUUCCACCUCUUAAAUUAUUUUGGAAAAGCAUCAGAAACAUUGGCAUUCAUUUUUUCUUUUUCAGUGGUAACUGCGGCUUAAACCCAGGGCCUUCACAUUGUUCUACCUACCAAGCCACUUUUUAAUUUUUUAUUUUGAGAUGGGGUCAUGCUAAAUCACUGAAUUGCCCAAGGUGGGCUUAAAGUUGUGAACCUCCUGCUGCGGCCUCUGAGUGCUGGGAUCACAGGCUGCACAGCUACACAGGGUUUAUACAGUUUUGUGCUUUCCAGUUUUAUGCCAUUGAUCUAUAGCUUUAUGCCACUGUGGUUAAAGAAUGUUUCUGUAUUUAUUUAUGGUACUAGAGGCGGAACUUGGGCCUUUGCACUGAGCCACGUCUCCAGCGCCUUUUAAAGUUUUCUUUUUUUGGUACCGGGGAUCGAACUCAGGUCCUUGCACUUGCACAGCAGGCGUUGAAACCACUGAGCUAAAUCCCGGCCCUAAAGUUUUUAAGUUGAGACAGGUCCUUGUUAAGUUCUCCAGGCUGGGCUUAAACUUGUAACCCUCCUGCUUCAGUCUAUGUUCAUUUUUAAAUUUAUUAGGACGUAACUUGUGGCCUGACAUAUGGGCCACCCUGGGACAUGUGCCCCACGCACUUGGGAAGAAGAGCACUUUGCUGCUGGGUGGAGUAUUCGUGCUUUUUGUAGUGUAUUUAACCUCCAACUGUUAUUUACUACAAUCUCUCCCCUUAAUCUUUUCUUUUCUUUCUUUUUUGAGAUACGGGGGACUGAACCCAGAGCCUUCAUAUUGAGCUACAUCCCUAGCCUUAAAAAAAUUUUUUUUGAAUAUGAGAAAAGGAAAAAUGGAAACAAAGUCUCUGUAAAUAGAGAAGGG